CAGUAGCCGCGGUAAUACGAAGGGUGCAAGCGUUACUCGGAAUUACUGGGCGUAAAGCGUGCGUAGGUGGUGGUUUAAGUCCGUUGUGAAAUCCCCGGGCUCAACCUGGGAACUGCAUUGGUGACUGCAACGCUGGAGUGCGGCAGAGGGGGAUGGAAUUCCGCGUGUAGCAGUGAAAUGCGUAGAUAUGCGGAGGAACACCGAUGGCGAAGGCAAUCCCCUGGGCCUGCACUGACGCUCAUGCACGAAAGCGUGGGGAGCAAACAGGAUUAGAUACCCCUGUAGUCCCUGUCUCUUAUAC
rnacentral:rRNA from 1 species